rnacentral:rRNA from 1 species
UACAGAGGGUGCAAGCGUUAAUCGGAAUUACUGGGCGUAAAGCGUGCGUAGGUGGUUUGUUAAGUCAGGCGUGAAAUCCCUGGGCUCAACCUGGGAACUGCGCUUGAUACUGGCAGACUCGAGUGUGGUAGAGGGUAGUGGAAUUCCGCAUGUAGCAGUGAAAUGCGUAGAUAUGCGGAGGAACACCAGUGGCGAAGGCGGCUACCUGGACCAACACUGACACUGAGGCACGAAAGCGUGGGGAGCAAAC